UCCACCUCUUCCCAUUCCGAACAGAGAAGUUAAGCUCACCAUCGCCGAUGGUACUGCCCCACCAGGUGGGAGAGUAGGUAGCCGCCACUU
rnacentral:rRNA from 1 species